GCAUUGAACUAGAAAAUAUAUCUCCUUCCCGCCUUCUUCCAGCUCCUCCUUGGCAAUCAGUGAGGCCACAUUUGACUUAACACUAACCAACAUUUA